rnacentral:rRNA from 1 species
UACGUAGGGGGCUAGCGUUGUCCGGAAUCAUUGGGCGUAAAGAGCGUGUAGGCGGCCCGGUAAGUCCGCUGUGAAAGUCGGGGGGCUCAACCCUCGAAAGCCGGUGGAUACUGUCGGGCUAGAGUGCGGAAGAGGCGAGUGGAAUUCCUGGUGUAGCGGUGAAAUGCGUAGAUAUCACUUGGAACGCCAAUGGUGAAGACAGCUCGCUGGGGGUGUCCUGACGCUGAGGCGGCGAAAGCCAGGGGAGCGAACGGG